GUGGGGAAUAUUGGACAAUGGGCGAAAGCCUGAUCCAGCCAUGCCGCGUGUGUGAAGAAGGUCUUCGGAUUGUAAAGCACUUUAAGCGAGGAGGAGGCUACCGAGAUUAAUACUCUUGGAUAGUGGACGUUACUCGCAGAAUAAGCACCGGCUAACUCUGUGCCAGCAGCCGCGGUAAUACAGAGGGUGCAAGCGUUAAUCGGAUUUACUGGGCGUAAAGCGCGCGUAGGUGGCCAAUUAAGUCAAAGGUGAAAUCCCCGAGCUUAACUUGGGAAUUGCAUUCGAUACUGGUUGGCUAGAGUAUGGGAGAGGAUGGUAGAAUUCCAGGUGUAGCGGUGAAAUGCGUAGAGAUCUGGAGGAAUACCGAUGGCGAAGGCAGCCAUCUGGCCUAAUACUGACACUGAGGUGCGAAAGCAUGGGGAGCAAACAGGAUUAGAUACCCUUGUAGUCC
rnacentral:rRNA from 1 species